rnacentral:lncRNA from 1 species
CUCCCUCCGUCCCACAAUACAUGUCUCUUUUGGAAAAAUUACGCAUAUUAAGAAAGCAUUGAUUAGAUAAAAUUUUCCCACCUCUACCCCUAAUAAAUGCAUGAAUGUAGACUCUUAUUCAACCUCCAUUAAUUGUUUUACAACUUUCAAGAAGGGUAAUUUUGGAAUAUUUGCAAUAUAUUUGCAUUGGAAACUAAAAGUAGACAUGUAUUGUGGGACAAAAAUUUCUUCCAAAAGAGAC